AAAAAGCUCGUAGUUGGAUUUCUGUCGAGGGCGGGCGGUCCGCACUAUGUGCGCGUAUCUUGUUCGGUCUUGGCAUCCUCUUGGGGAAUGCUUCUGUGCUUGAUUGCAUGGGGUGGAAUUCAAGACUUUUACUUUGAGGAAAUUGGAGUGUUCACGGCAAGCUACCGCUUUGAAUACAUUAGCAUGGAAUAAUAAUAUAGGGCGUAAGUUCUAUUUUGUUGGUUUCUAGGACAUACGCAAUGAUUAAUAGGGACAAUUGGGGGCAUUCGUAUUAACGCGUCAGAGGUGGAAUUCUUAGAUUGCGUUACGACGAACUACUGCGAAAGCAUUUGCCAAAGAUGUUUUCAUUGAUCAAGAACGAAAGUAUGGGGAUCGAAGACGAUUAGAUACCGUCGUAGUCUAUACCAUAAACUAUGCCAAUUAGAGAUUGGGCGUCGUUCGUUUUAUGACUCGCUCAGCACCUUAUGAGAAAUCAAAAUUUUUGGGUUCCGGGGGGAGUAUGGUCGCAAGGCUGAAAAACUUA
rnacentral:rRNA from 1 species